GUCUGUGGCUAUCCCAUCCAGAAUGUGUCUGCUCUCCUCUGAUCUCAGAAGCUAAGCAUGGUUGGAUCUGGUUAGCAUUUGGAUAGGAAACAGGCCAGAAAUUUGGAUUUGGAAGGUGGGAAUGCUGCGGUGA
rnacentral:rRNA from 1 species